rnacentral:rRNA from 1 species
AACCUGCCCCUCACUUCGGGAUAACCUCGGGAAAUCGUGGCUAAUACCGGAUAUGAACUUCUACCGCAUGGUGGUUGUUGGAAAGAUUUAUCGGUGAGGGAUGGACUCGCGGCCUAUCAGUUUGUUGGUGAGGUAAUGGCUCACCAAGACGAUGACGGGUAGCCGGCCUGAGAGGGCGACCGGCCACACUGGGACUGAGACACGGCCCAGACUCCUACGGGAGGCAGCAGUGGGGAAUAUUGCACAAUGGGCGAAAGCCUGAUGCAGCGACGCCGCGUGGGGGAUGACGGCCUUCGGGUUGUAAACCUCUUUCAGUAGGGAAGAAGCGAAAGUGACGGUACCUGCAGAAGAAGCGCCGGCUAACUACGUGCCAGCAGCCGCGGUAAUACGUAGGGCGCAAGCGUUGUCCGGAAUUAUUGGGCGUAAAGAGCUCGUAGGUGGCUUGUCGCGUCUGCCGUGAAAACCCGAGGCUCAACCUCGGGCGUGCGGUGGGUACGGGCAGGCUAGAGUGUGGUAGGGGAGACUGGAACUCCUGGUGUAGCGGUGAAAUGCGCAGAUAUCAGGAAGAACACCGAUGGCGAAGGCAGGUCUCUGGGCCAUUACUGACACUGAGGAGCGAAAGCAUGGGUAGCGAACAGGAUUAGAUACCCUGGUAGUCCAUGCCGUAAACGUUGGGCACUAGAUGUGGGGGACAUUCCACGUUUUCCGCGUCGUAGCUAACGCAUUAAGUGCCCCGCCUGGGGAGUACGGCCGCAAGGCUAAAACUCAAAGGAAUUGACGGGGGCCCGCACAAGCGGCGGAGCAUGCUGAUUAAUUCGAUGCAACGCGAAGAACCUUACCAAGGCUUGACAUGCACCGGGCGACUGCAGAGAUGUGGUUUUCUUCGGACUGGUGCACAGGUGGUGCAUGGUUGUCGUCAGCUCGUGUCGUGAGAUGUUGGGUUAAGUCCCGCAACGAGCGCAACCCUCGUUCUAUGUUGCCAGCACGUCAUGGUGGGGACUCAUAGGAGACUGCCGGGGUCAACUCGGAGGAAGGUGGGGACGACGUCAAAUCAUCAUGCCCCUUAUGUCUUGGGCUUCAAGCAUGCUACAAUGGUCGGUACAAUGGGUUGCGAAACUGUGAGGUGGAGCGAAUCCCAAAAAGCCGGCCUCAGUUCGGAUUGGGGUCUGCAACUCGACCCCAUGAAGUCGGAGUCGCUAGUAAUCGCAGAUCAGCAACGCUGCGGUGAAUACGUUCCCGGGCCUUGUACAC